rnacentral:rRNA from 1 species
GAUGAACGCUAGCGGCAGGCUUAACACAUGCAAGUCGAGGGGUAGAAGGAGCUUGCUCCUUUGAGACCGGCGCACGGGUGCGUAACGCGUAUGCAAUCUACCUUGUACAGGGGGAUAGCCCAGAGAAAUUUGGAUUAAUACCCCAUAGUGUAAUGAAAUGGCAUCAUUUUAUUACUAAAGUUCCAACGGUACAAGAUGAGCAUGCGUCCCAUUAGCUAGUUGGUGUGGUAACGGCAUACCAAGGCAACGAUGGGUAGGGGUCCUGAGAGGGAGGUCCCCCACACUGGUACUGAGACACGGACCAGACUCCUACGGGAGGCAGCAGUGAGGAAUAUUGGUCAAUGGGCGCAAGCCUGAACCAGCCAUGCCGCGUGCAGGAUGACGGUCCUAUGGAUUGUAAACUGCUUUUGUACAGGAAGAAACACUCCCUCGUGAGGGAGCUUGACGGUACUGUAAGAAUAAGGAUCGGCUAACUCCGUGCCAGCCGCCGCGGUAACAC